GUCUGUAACAAAAGAAGUGGGUGGGCACUUUCUUAUCAAGUUGACACUCAUUGGCUCAUGAAGGUUGUAAAAGACCCAUCGAAGCUCCGAUUGGCUCAAAUGAAGUGUCCAUCUAAUGCUGAGAGCCCGCGCUAAAACCAGGAAGUGUCUGAACCGUGAUGAGAGCACAAGAUAUUAAGUUAUGACUGUUUAUGAUCACACAAUGUAAAAAUCGAUCAGCUGAUUUCACAGAUUGCAACACCUGUUCAUGGACUUUUAUCGAUGUGACGAUGUUCACAGUGGAUAUCUUUUUCACGGAAACGAACGUGUGGACCUCUGGCAAUGCCUUAGGAGCGUCUUUUUCAAAAUAUUGCUGAAAAGAGGAUAUUUAUGAGGCUUUAUAGUAAACAUGAAGUUUGUGAGAGAGUGCCCUGUGUGCCUGAACGAAUACUCCCAGCUGGGCAAGCACCUCAGACAGACACACAGAGUCAAGAAUGAGACAGAGAGGAAAAUCCUCCUCAAGCUGGGCUCUGGAAGAACAGACGUCAGGACUGAACGUUGCAGCGUUGGAGGAUGUGACUACCAGGGGUCCCGGCUUGACCGCCACAUACGUGAAAUUCACUCGGAGAUGACUGUAGAGGAGAGGGCCAAGAUGAUGGAGAUCACAAAGCAGAUGAAAGCCAUCAAAGAAUUGGCAGCGCUGCGGAUGACGGACCCGGUGCCAGCAAUGGCCACAUAUCUGGAUCCAGUUGAUGAAGAAACAGAAGUCUUGUGUCUGGGAGAUGAUGAGGCUCCCCGCGACUGUGGGAAUGAGGAGUGCGGUGAGGUGAGGAGAGGAUACGUCAGGGAGUUGGCCAGGCUCACGACUCUGCAUGACCAAACAUUGCAGGACAUGGGAGCCCUGAGACUACAGAUCCAGCUGCUGAAGAGGAAGCUCGCUGACAGUCGCUACCAAGUGAUGAUACCACACAGCAGGAGAGCAAGAGCAAGGAGGGAGGCUGCUGUGGAACAGCUGUUUCGAAACUCAGAGGAGGUUGCGGAGGAGGACGUGGAGGACGUUGUUGCUGUUGCAGAGGACGUUGUUGCAGAGGACGUUGCGGAGGAAGCAACUCUGCCAGCCCCCAACAAGGAGGAACAGGUGUACAUCCCGAAGCAGAGGAAAGCGACAAGUAGGAACGUUAAUUCCCCCUGGAUGGCUGGCAGCGGACGGGGAAAUGUGAUGAGGAGAAUUAAGAUGCCUCCUUCCAUGGAAGAGUACCUCCAAAACUUUGGUAAGUUACAUGAGGGCACCAAUCCAACUAGGAAAAUGAGAGAAAACGCGAAGUCGAAAGUGAGCCGUGUGAAAACCUUCAUUUUAUUCAUGGGAAAUAAACACAAGAGGUUGUCCGACUGGCUGUUCAUGGACAACCCCGUCAAGCUGAAAAAAUGGUGUAAUAAGCUUGCAAGGGGCAUGCAGGAGACCACGGUGGAGUUCUACUUAAAAAACAAUUUGCAGUUUUUGAAUUACAUGCAGCAGACUCCGCCGCGGUCAUCUAGGCUCACAAAGGUCAACAUGACCGCUGUCAUACGAGACAUAAAAGUCGCCCUGAAAAGCCUGAAGAGGUUGCUGGUGGUCCACCAAACGUCAGUUAAGCAGGAGAAAUACUCUAAGCUGCCAGGGUGUGAGGCCAUCACUGAGAAGGAGGAGGGAAUAGUGUAAAUGUGUAAAUAUAGUGUUUAAUGUGUUAAAAUAAAUAGUUGAAUUUGAAUUGCUCUUGUGUUAAUUUCUCCUUAUUUGAAUAAUUGUGCCUCUUG
ensembl:lncRNA uncharacterized LOC115003793